UACAACAUAGUGUUAAUGCAUCAAAUCCCAUUAGAACUUCACAAUUAACCGUGCUUAGGCUAGAGUAGUACUGGGAUGGGUGAUCACCUAGGAAGUCCUAGUGUUUUAC
rfam:Picea glauca, whole genome shotgun sequence.